rnacentral:rRNA from 1 species
UACGGAGGGUGCAAGCGUUAUCCGGAUUCACUGGGUUUAAAGGGUGUGUAGGCGGAUAUUUAAGCCAGUGGUGAAAUCUCCAGGCUCAACCUGGAAACUGCCAUUGAUACUAUUUAUCUUGAAUUCUGUUGAGGUGGGCGGAAUACAUCAUGUAGCGGUGAAAUGCUUAGAUAUGAUGUAGAACACCGAUUGCGAAGGCAGCUCACUAAGCAGACAUUGACGCUGAGGCACGAAAGCGUGGGGAUCAAACAGG